rnacentral:snRNA from 1 species
GGAUGAGAGACUGAUCUGACUGUGGUAUCUCUCACCUUACUGACCUCCAGAAUUGAUUCCGCUCAUCUGGCUGGCUUGGCGGUUGUCUGCUUUUCUCUCACUGCUCCAUGUGUGGCCUUCCCAAAGCUGUAUUCUUGGUUAAAAAUGAUGGCUUUCCCCAGUAGAGGAAGAUCAUUCUUCAGCCAAGGGUGUACGGGCAGCUGCACUCUCCUGUGGGAACCUCCAGCUCUUGAGCUAUUGCUGAGGUGUCCACUGGUUCUUCCUCAUCCUCAUCGUUCCACCGGUUUAGGCUGGUGGAUGUUGGG